rnacentral:tRNA from 1 species
GGUCUUAUAUUCAAAGAAUAUGAUUUUAGAUUGCAAAUCUAAAGGUGUGUAAUUACUAAGGCUU